ensembl:lncRNA
GCAGGAUAACUUUCACUGGGGCUCAAACUGUAAGCCUUUUGGCUUUACCUGAUUGACCAGAAGCACUUGAAAUCCUUAUUUGAAACUGAGAUGACAAUGGCGUUAGUACAUUUGCAAGUGAUUUAUGUAUAGACUCAUAAUGUGAGUGAAAAACGCCACGGCUAAAUCUGUCGUUGAGUUGACUGUAACGUUACUGUGGCGGAAAUGAAUCAACUGGCUGAUUCGGAAUGCGGAAGAACGUGUGCAUAUACCGAGUAGUUUCGUUACACAGCAUUGCCAACGCUACGGUAGGUAACAAGCGUAAAUUUACCUCAGCUAAUGUAGUUCACAGAAACGAGUUGAUUUAGGGCCUUCGUGACAUGCACCUUUACUUUUGACUAGAUAACCUAUGUUUCAACAGCCGAAAUGUUUGAACUUGUCUUGAUACUUAAAUUUGUACAUACAUGCCAAAGAACCGGCACGUCAGUUUAGGUCACAAUAAAACGAACGUGAUAUGCAUGUGUAUGCACGUGAUAUGCAGGUGUUUACUGUGCAGCUUAAAAGGACUUAAAUAAAACAUUUAAUGCAGACGUCUGAAUUUGAUAAGCUACACUUGUUUUACUUAUUAACUGUUAGAUGGGGUAGUGUUUAGUGACAACAGCUGGUUACCUAUCUUACAUCAUUAGAAUGAAAUGCUAACUAGCUAACUAGGCUUAAUUUUAGUGCAUCAUCUAAUUUUGUUAAGUUGGCUGCGGACACAGAUGACAUCGGUUUAUGUAUUUGUGCUCUUAGGGGAAGCACAGUAAAGCUGAUUUCCUGUGUUUAAAACCACCAGCUGCCACUGCUCUCUUAAUACCCCUGGAGAAAAGGUAUUACCUUUGUGCCAUGUUGGAGAUACCAAGGACAGAACCCCACCAGUGUCACCUGUCUUCAGCUCUCCUGGUACUUAAUGUGGUCACCAUGGUGAUGAGGCAGACUAUCGGUCAGUGCCAUGGCACUGCCCAAGUGGUACAUGAUGUUCAGAGAUAUGUUCUGGCAAUGAGAGCACUUGAUUGCCGUCUUUACACACCAACUGUGGAUGACUACAAGAUCUGCACUUUGUCCACGCUGAAUUGUUUUGCAGAAGAGGUGAAAGUCCUGGACAUGGAGAUAGAGGAUAGAACUUUGCGAGUGGUCUUUGCUUUAAGGAAAAGACUGAAGAAACUGACACUUAAUAUCAAUGAAAAGUUGAAGAAUAAGACACAAAUACAGUGUCCACCUUGUGAGAUCCAUACUGAACAAGCUGCAGCCGUGUUCUUAGAGGCACUUAACUCUGUUUUGCAGUAUCAGUGUUCAGCUGAUCCCAUGGACACUUAAGGACUGUGUUUAUUGUUAUUCUGAUCUAUGCCUCAAAUGGAUUGCUCUCAAUAUAUUAUGAAGUCAACAUUGAUAGAGCUACCUUCUGUAAUGACUGCAUUGUAUUGAAAUAAGAGAAAUAUAGUUCAAUAUUAUUCUAACUUUAUGGUAUUUGUAUGUAUAAUACCCUUGCAAUACAGUUACAAUACCCUCUGACUGGAGCUAACACUAAACAUUUGUGUUCUUAGUUGUGAAACACCUUAAGGCAUGGCUCGUGACUAGCAGAUUAACUACUAACAGUUAAAUUGUACAUUAAAAUUCAAUUUGAUGGAAUAUGGUCAUUUGAAUGAUAGCUAAACACACCUUUCAUCCUUACUACUCUUGCAUAUUUAGUCCCCACAACCUCUCUGUAUAGUUCUGUGGUCCAGGUCAGAAACCCAACUAAAAUCUAUGAAAGGUUUUCAUAGCAUACAGUAAAUUUGCUAUAAAGCAGCAUUGUGACUUGAAGCAGGGGCAAUUUAUAUUGUUUCUAAUAUUUUAAUAUAAGAUUUACUGAAUUAAAGCAACUUAGAAGAACAUAAUAUUUCAUACUUUAUUUUAUGGGAAAAUCUUGUUGAAAAUGUAUGUAUCAAGUAUGAAACAGCAAGUAUUUAAAGAAAAUAUAUCAAGUAGGAAAUAUGAUACAAGGUAAGGUUAAGGAUAAUUUAUCUCUAAAUCCCUCCAUUGUCAUUGUCUAAUGUAUUGCAAUUCAUGACGCUAGCUAUGACAGAAUGAUCAUAUCUCAUCAACUCUUUGAUGAUGCAAAACUUGGUAAAUGGACUUAUGAUCCCUUCCUGAGGUAAUGCACAAAUGUUGCAUUAUUUGACCACUGGGGACACUGUAAUAAGAAAAAACAAUUGACAAGGCAAAUUAAAAAGGUUGAAAAAGGUUCCUGUUUGGAAAAAAAAACAUUAUUUGUUUUUGUUUCUAAAAUAUGCUUUUGUGCAACCACUAACCACGCCAGCACACCAGUGAUAGAUAAAGGCCCGGUGUCUGUAUUUUGUCAAAAGAUCCAAUAAACACUAAUUAAACACUACUUAAAAGAUUAUA